rnacentral:misc_RNA from 1 species
UGCAUCAGCAGUGAUGUUGUGCUUGGAGACCUGGUAUUUUCAAGUGCUGGUGUUGAUUGCGGGGUUGCUGGAAAAUGCAGAGAUUGCAUUGGAUUCUCUCUCAGUUUGCAUGACAUUAUCCGGAUGGGUGUACAUGAUUUCAGUUGGUUUCAAUGCUGCUGCAAGCGUGAGAGUGAGCAACGAGCUAGGAGCAGGACAUCCAAAAUCAGCAGCAUUUUCUGUGAUAAUUGUGAAUCUAUGCUCUUUCAUUAUCGCUGUAGUCGCAGCCAUCAUCGUGAUGAUAUUGCGGGACUACCUUAGCUAUGCUUUCACCGAAGGUGAAGAAGUUGCCAAAGCAGUCUCCGAGCUCACCCCCUACUUGGCUGUUACUCUCAUUCUAAAUGGUGUUCAGCCUGUUUUAUCCGGUGUGGCUGUUGGAUGUGGAUGGCAAGCUUUUGUAGCAUAUGUGAACGUUGAAUUUAAAUCCAAGAAGUACCCCUA